UACUACCGAAGCUACGGCAUCAGUAAUGAUGGGUAGGGGAGCUUCCCAUACGGGUUGAAGCAUGACCGUAAGGACAUGUGGACAGUAGGGGAGUGAGAAUGUUGGCAUGAGUAGCGAGAUGUGGGUGGGAAUCCCACAGGCCGUAAACCCAAGGUUUCCAGGGGAAGGUUCGUCCGCCCUGGGUUAGUCGGGACCUAAGCUGAGGCCGAAAGGCG
rnacentral:rRNA from 1 species